AUUGGACGCUGGCGGCAGGCCUAACACAUGCAAGUCGAACGGUAACAGGAAACAGCUUGCUGUUUCGCUGACGAGUGGCGGACGGGUGAGUAAUGUCUGGGAAACUGCCUGAUGGAGGGGGAUAACUACUGGAAACGGUAGCUAAUACCGCAUAACGUCGCAAGACCAAAGAGGGGGACCUUCGGGCCUCUUGCCAUCGGAUGUGCCCAGAUGGGAUUAGCUAGUAGGUGGGGUAACGGCUCACCUAGGCGACGAUCCCUAGCUGGUCUGAGAGGGUGACCAGCCACACUGGAACUGAGCCACGGUCCAGACUCCUACGGGAGGCAGCAGUGGGGAAUAUUGCACAAUGGGCGCAAGCCUGAUGCAGCCAUGCCGCGUGUAUGAAGAAGGCCUUCGGGUUGUAAAGUACUUUCAGCGGGGAGGAAGGGAGUAAAGUUAAUACCUUUGCUCAUUGACGUUACCCGCAGAAGAAGCACCGGCUAACUCCGUG
rnacentral:rRNA from 1 species